UCAGGAUGAACGCUAGCGGCAGGCUAACACAUGCAAGUCGAGGGGCAACGCGAGUAGCAAUACUUGGCGGCGACCGGCGCAAGGGUGCGUAACGCGUGAGCAACAUGCCCGUAUCAGGGGGAUAAUCCAGGGAAACUUGGUCUAAUACCCCAUAGUAAUUUUGUAAGGCAUCUUAUAAGAUUUAAAGCUUUGGUGGAUACGGAUUGGCUCGCGUGACAUUAGCUGGAUGGUAAGGUAACGGCUUACCAUGGCUAUGAUGUCUAGGGGUUCUGAGAGGAAGGUCCCCCACACUGGAACUGAGACACGGUCCAGACUCCUACGGGAGGCAGCAGUGAGGAAUAUUGGACAAUGGAUGGAAAUCUGAUCCAGCCAUGCCGCGUGAAAAGGAAGAAGGUCCUAUGGAUUGUAAACUUCUUUUGUAUGGGAGCAAUAAGGCCUACGAGUAGGUUGAUGAGAGUACCAUACGAAUAAGCACCGGCUAACUCCGUGCCAGCCGCGGC
rnacentral:rRNA from 1 species